UACGGAGGGUGCGAGCGUUGUCCGGAAUCACUGGGCGUAAAGGGCGCGUAGGCGGCUCGGGUCGUCAUCGGUGAAAGUUCAGGGCUCAACUCUGAGUCGGCCGGUGAUACUCUCGUGCUUGAGCACUGUAGAGGCAGGUGGAAUUCCGGGUGUAGCGGUGGAAUGCGUAGAGAUCCGGAAGAACACCGGUGGCGAAGGCGGCCUGCUGGGCAGUAGCUGACGCUGAUGCGCGACAGCGUGGGGAGCAAACAGG
rnacentral:rRNA from 1 species